UGUGCAUUUUUUUCCUUUAACGUGACAACAGUCCUUACAAAUAUGUCUUUGCUUUUUACAAACAAAAUAAGUUUCUUUGAACUUCUUUUUGCCGACACCACUCAAAUUAAUUCUGGUUUUUUCCCCGCAUGAAGAAUGUUUAGGAAUUGGGUUUGCCAUUCAGAUCACAAAGAUUACUAUGUUAACAAGUAUAUCAAAAUUAUUAUGAUUGAUGAUUUCUAAUUAAUUUUCUAUAUCAUAUAUAUUCAGAACCUCUCUUUAAUUUUAUAUAUAAAAAAGCUAUAUAAUUAUAAUUCUUUUAGUUUUAGUUUUUGUUUGUUAGUUAUGAACAAGAAUACAAUUCUUUUAGUUUGUUUGCAAAUCUGGAAAAGAAUCAAGUCAUCUGUCAAGCUCUGUUCAAUGUGGUCCGACAUUUCUCACCUCUCCCCACCUGAGCUCUCUCUCUUUCCCUCCUCCGCUCUCGGAAACCGCCGCCGAUACCAAUAAGGCUUCAAAUCUUCACCAGGUGCUUCAUUUUCUAUUUUGUUUUUUUCUUUAAAAAAAAGAUUCAUAUUUGUGUUUUCAUUUAUUUAAUUGAAAUUACUAUCCAGAAAGAGAAAUUCGAUUUUAAUAAGUAAAUUAAAAAGAUAUAUAAUCGAACCCGAUGAAAUCGCUGCUCGUGAACGCAACUCGAAAAAAGGCGCAAUCAGCCGAUUCUACUGUGGGUGGAGAAUUUAGUAUGGUCAGGACUAUUGUGUUGUCUAUUCAAAGAAAGAUGUGCCUGUAAAUUUGUUAAGUUGAUUCUUAUGAGUCUGCUCUUUAGAGUUGAUGAUAACAUGAAAUAUUCAUUGUUAAUGCUCGUUGUUUUCUUCUUCUCUUUCCUAGAUUAAAACAUCCUAGACAAUCUCUUUGGAUGUUUCUGGCCUCGUCAUCUUCUAUUUGUGUUGUGAUAUUUAGUCUGCUGAUAUUCAUUGGGGAUUGAAAGGCCUCGUUUUACGACUUUGUUUUGUCUUCUUCUUAUUUCUUUAUUCUUUUGGGGAUGUGGUAUUUUCCUCUUUCUAUUUACACUAUUUGCUCCCUACAAUAUUUAUUCUUUCAGAGAAGUAAAUAUAUGCCUAAAUAACAAGAACAGGAGGGGAAGGGGAGUGGGGUUUGACAGUAAGUAUUUGCUUAGAAGGGAAUGCUUCUUUGGUUUAGAAGCACCAUGAAGAUUCUUUGCUUUGAAUGGCCGCAUACCCAGGAUCCUAGCACCUUGGCCUGAAUGGUUGUGUAUAUUUGUUAUGCAUCCAUAUUUGGCUGAAUUCUUUAAUAAAGUACAUGAUAUUAGACGGAAGUUCUUUCUAAAUCUAUUCAAGUCCGAAUAAACUGAUAUUCCAUUUUUCAUGUUCUUGAUGUGCUUUUGCUCUUCUUGUCGUUCCUGACUUUCUUUUUAGGGUCUAUUCUAACAUGCAAUAUGAUUUUUUUUCUUUCUUUUUGGUUGGCUCACUGCGGAGAACCUGUCAUGGACACGGGUGAUUGGAGAAUUCAAUUGCGGCCUGACUCACGGAAAAGAAUAGUCGACAAAAUAAUGGAGACAAUAAAGAGGCAUCUUUUGAUUUCUGGUCAGGAGGGAUUAUAAGAACUCAAGAAAUUUGCCAUACGUUUUGAGGAAAAGAUUCAUACUACCGCCACCAAUCAGUAUGAUUAUCUGCGUAAAAUAUCUCUGGAGAUGCUUUCAAUGGAGAUCAGGUCUCAAAACACUAUGCCCACUGCCCCUAUGGAUCCAGCAGCAUCCCAUAGUAUGCCCCCUCAAGUUCAGAAUCAAGGGCUGUUUCUCCCUCUCCUAUCGUCCACAGAUCAGUCUCAAGCACGUCAGCAGUUGGUAUCACAGAACAUGCAGAGUAUCCCCGGUGUUUCACAGAACUCAGUGGAGAAUUCAAUGGGACAAGGGAUUCCCUCCACUAUGUUUGCCAAUUCUCAGAGACAAAUGCCAGAUCAAAGUUAUGAAGGAGACUUAUUUCCCUGAAAUAAAUGAAAUGUACCAGAGAAUUGCUGCCAGGUUACAGCAGCUUGACUCUCAUCCGCAACAACCGAAGUCAGAACAGCUUGAAAAGCUGGAAGUAUUCAAGGCCAUGUUGGAGCACUUGAUAACAUUCUUACAGGUCUCUAAAAGCAGAUUGUAAGUUUCCUAAACCCAAGCAGAUUCAGGAGGCCUCUUCCUAAUCUACAGCUAGGACAACUUCCCCAGCCUCCAGUUCCUCAGUUGCAGUCCCAUGAAAAUCAACUGAAUCCCCAGUUGCAAUCAAUGAAUGUGCACUGUUCUAUACCAACGAUGCAGCAGAACAAUAUGUCAAGCUUGCAGCAUGGUUCUCUUUCAUCUUUAUCUGGGGUUUCUAUGUCACAGCCGAACACGAUGAUGCGGGAUGAGAGGUUUUAAGAAAAGAAAAGGAGGAAGAGAGAAUGAUGAGGAUGUUGUAGCAAAAAUUUCACAGGAUUUACUACAAAUCCAAGCCAAAAUAUUUGACUAGAUUACUGUCUUACGAUCUUCUUAAAACAUGGGUAAACAUGGGUUUGAGGUUGUCAUGUUGAAUCAUCUUUCUACCGUCCGGGACAUCAACAUAACCUUAAUGACUACCAUUUAUGUUUGCGCAAUCAAACAUCAGCUUUGACAAUCGCUCUUUCUCGACUUGGCGAAAACGUUUUUCCUCUUUCAUUGUCCCUGAUGUAAUGAGAUGGUAAAUGUAGACAAUUUUCUCUUAACCUAGCCUUCAUGGCUUGCUUUUCUA